rnacentral:misc_RNA from 1 species
AAGUCGUAACAAGGUUUCCGUAGGUGAACCUGCGGAAGGAUCAUUAAAGAGUUUGGGAGUGUAUUUGAUUAUUCUUUAUUGAAUAUAUUGAUACACUCUUUUUUCUUUUAUACCCUUUUAUAUAUCUUUGUAUUAGUUGCUUUGGUGAUUGUUAGUUUUAAUGAUUGCCAGAGGAAUUUAUUUAAACCCUGUAUGUUGUCCAAUAAUUGGUUACUUCAUGUCUGAUUUUUAAUGCUUUAAUAGUAUUUAAAACUUUCAACAAUGGAUCUCUUGGUUCUG